rnacentral:rRNA from 1 species
UACGUAGGGGGCUAGCGUUGUCCGGAAUCAUUGGGCGUAAAGCGCGUGUAGGCGGUCCGGUAAGUCCGCUGUGAAAGUCGGGGGCUCAACCCUCGGAUGCCGGUGGAUACUGUCGGGCUUGAGUACGGAAGAGGCGAGUGGAAUUCCUGGUGUAGCGGUGAAAUGCGCAGAUAUCAGGAGGAACACCUGUGGUGUAGACAGCUUACUGGACCAUUUCUGACGCUGAGACACGAAAGCGUGGGUAGCAAACAGG